CCCGCCCCCUCGCUUUCUCCCUCGGCUCCUCCAUCCGCUCCCGUCGAGCGGGGACAUUGCGAUGAGGCGGGAUCGCGGCCCUAAAACGGCCCUGGGUGGAGCUGGCGAGGUGGAACCAGGUGGGAUGGCAGCCUCUCCCAUGGGCCGUCCCAGACGGCUCCAACGCUACCUCCAGAGCGGCGAAUUCGACCAGUUUCGGGACUUCCCCAUCUUUGAGAGCAACUUCGUACAGGUGACUCGGUUGGGAGAAGUUGCCAACGAGGUCACCAUGGGGGUGGCAGCCUCCAGUCCAGCCCUGGAGCUCCCGGACCUAUUGCUUCUGGCCGGCCCUGCCAAGGAGAACGGACACCUGCAACUCUUCGGGCUGUUCCCCCUGAAGUUCGUCCAGCUCUUUGUCCACGACAAAAGCCGGUGUCAGCUCGAGGUCAAGUUGAACACCAGCCGCACCUUCUACUUGCAGCUGCGCGCCCCACUCGAGACCCGAGACCGAGAGUUCGGCCAGUGGGUGCGGCUGCUUUACCGCCUGCGCUUCCUCUCCGCUUCCGCCGUGCCCUUCACGCAGGAGUAAGAGGUGCUGGAGGAUGAAGAUGAGGAGGGUGAUGAUGAUAAGGUGGAGGCCCAGAGGGAGUGGGAGGAGCCCCAAGGCGUGGAAGCCAGACUUGACCCCAAGACCUCUGAACUCUGGGGACUCUGAGUCUUCCAGCAUCCUUCAAGGUCACCGAAUGACCAGAGAUCAAAGUACCUUGCCUCAGGGCCGGGCAGAUGAGAUAUUAAAGUUAAUAAAGGUCAAUCCGUUAAGAACCAACAA